rnacentral:rRNA from 1 species
GUCCACGCCGUAAACGAUGUGCACUAGAUUUGGGGGGUUUGACCCCUUCCGAGUCGCAGCUAACGCAUUAAGUGCACCGCCUGGGGAGUACGGUCGCAAGACUAAAACUCAAAGGAAUUGACGGGGGCCCGCACAAGCGGUGGAUUAUGUGGUUUAAUUCGAAGCAACGCGCAGAACCUUACCCGGGCUUGAAAUCCUGAGAACCUGUCCUAAAAGACGGGGUGCCCUUCGGGGAAUUCAGUGACAGGCGCUGCAUGGCUGUCGUCAGCUCGUGUCGUGAGAUGUUGGGUUAAGUCUCGCAACGAGCGCAACCCCUAUCCUUAGUUGCCAGCAUUAAGUUGGGCACUCUAGGGAGACUGCCUGGGCUAACCAGGAGGAAGGUGGGGAUGACGUCAAGUCCUCAUGGCCCUUAUGUCCGGGGCUACACACGUAAUACAAUGGUGCAUACAAUGGGAAGCGACCCUGCGAAGGUGAGCAAAUCUCAAAAAGUGCAUCUCAGUCCGGAUUGGAGUCUGCAACUCGACUCCAUGAAGUUGGAAUCGCUAGUAAUCGUGGAUCAGCACGCCACGGUGAAUACGUUCCCGGCCUUGUACACACCGCCCGUCACACCACGGGAGUUGGUUUUACCUGAAGUCGUGGCCCUAACCUUUUGGAGGGGACGCCUACGGUCGAACUGAUGAUUGGGGUGAAGUCGUACAAGUAACCUAGUCAGUCAGCUU